UACGUAGGGGGCAAGCGUUGUCCGGAAUCAUUGGGCGUAAAGAGCGUGUAGGCGGCUUGGUAAGUCCGCUGUGAAAGUCCAGGGCUCAACCCUGGAAUGCCGGUGGAAACUGCCAAGCUCGAGUCCGGAAGAGGCGAGUGGAAUUCCUGGUGUAGCGGUGAAAUGCGCAGAUAUCAAGUGGAACACCAGUGGCGAAGGCGAGUCUCUGGACAUUUCCUGACGCUGAGGCACGAAAGCCAGGGGAGCAAACGGG
rnacentral:rRNA from 1 species